rnacentral:lncRNA from 1 species
AUCGUGUUUCACUUAGCAUGGCAAGUCACAAUAUUUUUCUGUCCCUGCAGUGAAAGACUGCAGUAAGUUGAUCUUGCUAACAAGAGAUAAUUAUUAGCUUCCUUGGGAAUGUUACUGUAUAUGCAUUGCUAAGCAUUCCAGGAGGAUUAAUAUUUCUGUGAAUUUUGGACAAGACGAGGUAGCGGCCCAGAGAGACAGGACUGUUUGAAUAUUUGUCCUUGCUCCAUUUGCCUCUCCAUCACUGGUAAUUUGUUAAUGCUGCUUGUGUUCCAUCUGAGGUCACGUGGAGAAUUAAUGCACCUCAACUGACUAAUACACCCAAUUCCAAAGAGAGAACAAGGCAAGUUUUCACCAGGCUGAACUGUAGGCAGAGCUCCCACUGACUUCACAGAGCGCUCCCAGGGGACAGGCAGCAAGGUAAAAUAAAAAUUGAAAGCAGUCAAGAUUCCAGAUGGAGUUGGGGAUCCAUAGAAUGAUUUUUUUAAAAGUGUCUUCCCCUGCAACUCACCACCCUUUCCUUUUUAUUUGAAUUUCCUGCCAAUGGACUUAAGCAUCAUUUAUCUACAUUAAAAAAAACCCUGCUUACUCUGGAAGGUGCUAAGACAGACCUCCAGAGUGUCAGCCCCCAGAAGAAGCCUUGUGUCC